AACGAACGCCGGCGGCAGGCUUAACACAUGCAAGUCGAGCGCCCCGCGAGGGGAGCGGCAGACGGGUGAGUAACACGUGGGAACGUACCUUUUGCUACGGAAUAGCUCCGGGAAACUGGAAUUAAUACCGUAUGUGCCCUUCGGGGGAAAGAUUUAUCGGCAAAAGAUCGGCCCGCGUCUGAUUAGCUAGUUGGUGGGGUAAUGGUCUACCAAGGCGACGAUCAGUAGCUGGUCUGAGAGGAUGAUCAGCCACACUGGGACUGAGACACGGCCCAGACUCCUACGGGAGGCAGCAGUGGGGAAUAUUGGACAAUGGGCGCAAGCCUGAUCCAGCCAUGCCGCGUGAGUGAUGAAGGCCUUAGGGUUGUAAAGCUCUUUCGCUAGGGAAGAUAAUGACGGUACCUAGAGAAGAAGCCCCGGCUAACUUCGUGCCAGCCGCCGCCGUAAAAC
rnacentral:rRNA from 1 species